GAUGAACGCUGGCGGCGUGCCUAAUACAUGCAAGUCGAGCGAACGGACGAGAAGCUUGCUUCUCUGAUGUUAGCGGCGGACGGGUGAGUAACACGUGGAUAACCUACCUAUAAGACUGGGAUAACUUCGGGAAACCGUAGCUAAUACCGGAUAAUAUUUUGAACCGCAUGGUUCAAAAGUGAAAGACGGUCUUGCUGUCACUUAUAGAUGGAUCCGCGCUGCAUUAGCUAGUUGGUAAGGUAACGGCUUACCAAGGCAACGAUGCAUAGCCGACCUGAGAGGGUGAUCGGCCACACUGGAACUGAGACACGGUCCAGACUCCUACGGGAGGCAGCAGUAGGGAAUCUUCCGCAAAGGGCGAAAGCCUGACGGAGCAACGCCGCGCGAGUGAUGAAGGUCUUCGGAUCGUAAAACUCUGUUAUUAGGGAAGAACAUAUGUGUAAGUAACUGUGCACAUCUUGACGGUACCUAAUCAGAAAGCCACGGCUAACUACGUG
rnacentral:rRNA from 1 species